ACUGCAUGUCUAGUACUUUGGGGAUGCCCAUUCUCUCCAAGGCUCUCAUAGCCUAACUGUAGAGAAAAGGCUUACAUGUAUGACAUAUUAAGAUUGUAGAAACCAGCACCUGUGGGACCUCUGAGAGGGUCUGGAAUUAGGGUUCAGGUACCAUCCAUCUGUUACGUGCUUUGAAGAUGCCACUCCAUCUGUGGGAUUCAAUUUACAUAAACUGAAGACUAUUCUUCUGAGUUGAAGUGAGGAGAGGCAUCAAUCACACUGGAAAAUUAUUUGAUCUCCUGGAAGCAAAAAGUCCACCAUGAAGUUGUUCUUGCCAUGGACUUCUAGAGGAGCUGACUGUCCUUUGGGAAGCUACAAAUACAGCCUUAAAAUCUGUUAGCAGGGAAGAGAGGCUUUUUCUGAGUGAUCAGGAAUGAAGAAGCAGAGAUCAUGCAAGGUGUUUCCAUCCAAAAGUAGGCAUCUCAUGUCAUCUGCUCUGGCCAGUAUUUAACCUUGAGAAAAGAAGAAGUGUAGAGAUGAUGUACUUGCCUGAGGGAUGGAUUAAAAAGUCUUUGGUCUUCUCUGAACGGUACUACUGAAUUUAUCCUCAUCACCGUCAUCAUUGUCAUUGUCAUCAUCAUCAUGAAAACAGGAGCAGAGAGAGGAAUGCUAUGAAGCUAUUAUUGUUCAAAAAAGACCUGGAGACAGCGGAUUGAAAAUCUCACAGCCAAAACGCAAUCUGGUGACUACCUUCUCUGGCUCUCAUUUGCUGACUUUGGAAGUUUGAAAAGGCUCCUCAUUAGGCCACAGAUGCACCGCGGACCUGUUCUUCCUUUUGGGUUGGCAGGCGCAAAGCCCCAUUAGCAGUAAUGUGCACCAGUGGGACUCCAGGGAGAGGAAGAAAGCUGAAAGGGCUGGAGUUCCUGGUCCAAUUUUUAAAGAAAACAAGAGAAUAAAAGGCCCAUAAAACUCAGAAACACUUCUUCCCUUGGCUCAUUCACAUGGAAAUGCAAGUCUGAUGAUCAUGGACAAGGAGGUGAUGGCUCCAGGAGCAGGGGUCAGGGUGACCUCCAGCUCCUCAACUCCAGCCCUGUGUGCACCAGCAAGGUUCACCCCCAAGCCACCAGUGCCAAAUGGAAAAACUUUAUUGUCAUGUCUUUGAACACUUGGCAGGAAGUACCACGGGUGUUCCAAUUAUUAAACUAAUAAGCACUCGA
ensembl:lncRNA LINC01344 long intergenic non-protein coding RNA 1344